rnacentral:lncRNA from 1 species
AAGGUAAGUUGUUUUAACUUGUUUAGCAUGAAAAGUUCGAUUUUGGUUCAAAACGACUUUGUUAAAACCAAUGAUUUUACCAAUUCAACCCAAGAUUGCUAGUAGAGUGUGUCAGUAUUGAUAUAUUUUUGUUGUUUUUUGGGUUCGUAUAUAUGUAGGCUGAAAAGAUGACUACUGAUCCAGUGAAAAAGGAGAUGGCUGAGCGGAAGAAAGAGGAAAAGUUGUUUGAAGCAGAGUGUGAGAAGGAACGGAUGCGCCAAGCUGCCAGGAGAGGCGACCACAACCUCCACACGGCGGGUGAUCCGCUCGGCCACGCUGGGCCGGUUAGGGAGGAUUAUCCAACUAGCGUGACUAGUGGAGUUGUUGGGUCGCAGUAUCCUGCAGGAGUGAACAAAAGAAGUGGAAGGACCGGUGUUCUUGAUCCUGACCGGGUGGAGGAUGUGGGCAGACCGGGAGUUCAAGACCCCGGGGUUGGCGGAGGAGCUAGGACUGGUUAUGGACCUGGUGCUACAUAUUAGCUAGCCUGAGUGUUUAGGACGCAUGUUUUAGUUU